rnacentral:tRNA from 1 species
CUGUGGCCUAAUCGGUUAAGGCAUUGGUCUUAUGAGCCAAAGAUUCG